ensembl:lncRNA
GGCGGGGCGCCCCCGGCCGGGCACCCGGCGCUGCUCCUCGGGCCCGAGGGAUCCCGGGCAGCCGCGCGCCGGGGCCCGGGGCGGAGUGCUCGCGGGUGUGUCCAUUCGUCCAUCCGCCGCCCCCGCCCGCCCCCUGCGGUGGCUCCCGGCUUGCCCAGCUCGGCGGCCGCGCCCGGCAGAUGCGCGGCGCUGGGUCCCGGCCUCCUGCGCCCCGGGCCUCCCGGCCCCGCCGGCCCCGGGUUGGCGGACGGGACCGAGGCGAGCUCCCCGGCCGCGCUCAACACCUGAGGAAACUGGCGGAAAAGUUUGAGAACGAAAAGUCCAAUCGUCUUUCAGCUUCCGCCCUCCCUAUGACACUCCAGCCACGGACUGCUCCAGUACUCAAGUCUGAGAUGCUGACUCUGAUGCGUAUCAUUAAGGAAUCAAAGUUUAGCGAACAGCUUCCACCCACUCCAGACUCCUUUCCACAACCUCUUCCUGGAGUGGGCAUCUCCUACAUUUAUAGGACAAUGUACCACAUUGACAAAUUUUGCCUUUUCCCCAACAAGCCACUUCACAGGCUGUCAGACCUGCCUGUUCCUGACAAGGGCUGUUCUUGUCGUGGGCGGACCUCAGUUUCAGGGGGACGGCGAUGAGGCUGGAGCUCAGAGAGAUGGAGAAGCCUCUGAAGCCGCAGCAGCAGGAGCAGAAGGCACAGCCGCAGGGCCCUCUGGAAAGAACAGAGAAGAGAAGUGGAUGCUGCAGACCUGAGCCAGGAUGUUCUCUGUGAUGUCAGGUGAGCUGUGCCUCCCCCUCCAACCUACCCAGCACAGACACACUGGAAAGUGGCUUUUCAAAUGCCUUUGACUCUUAUCUCUCUUACAUCACCCUCUGAAAUGAAAUCUCAAACACUUUAGUGGGGUUUGAUGCAGAGAACAGUAAGCAGAUGGAGGUUCAGGCAGAAACAGAGCAGGAGUCAAAAGCCCUGGAGAAAAGCAUGAAUGGGCUUGGAGAGGACAAAUAAAAUAGCAGAGACAUUUAUACA